rnacentral:rRNA from 1 species
GUGAGGAAUAUUGCGCAAUGGAGGCAACUCUGACGCAGCCAUGCCGCGUGCAGGAAGAAGGCGCUACGCGUUGUAAACUGCUUUUAACCGGGAAGAAACCCCAGGACGUGUCCUGGGUUGACGGUACCGGAGGAAUAAGCACCGGCUAACUUCGUGCCAGCAGCCGCGGUAAUACGAAGGGUGCAAGCGUUAUCCGGAUUCAUUGGGUUUAAAGGGUGCGUAGGCGGAGCGUUAAGUCAGUGGUGAAAUCCUGCAGCUUAACUGUAGACUUGCCAUUGAUACUGGCGCUCUUGAGUGCGCUUGAAUUGGGCUGAAUGUGCCGUGUAGCGGUGAAAUGCUUAGAUAUGGCACAGAACACCAAUUGCGAAGGCAGCUCACUAAGGCGAUACUGACGCUGAGGCACGAAAGCGUGGGGAUCGAACAGGAUUAGAAACCCCAGUAGUCC